rnacentral:lncRNA from 1 species
GUCCUGCGCAUCUCCUACGGCCUCCAGGACAGAGGAACCGGGGGAGGCAGGGGGAAAAGGCCGGCCCAGCAAUUCCCCUACCCCCCGGUCCCACGUGUACCCUCCUGGCCUGGGUCGCCCCAGCCCACGGGGAGCGGGCGGAGUCCUGGCCCACGAAGCCUUGUCACCUGGCGGGCGAAUCCGCAAGCGGAGACUUGUCUUUAAAGGGCUUUGGGCCGGGCGCGGUGGCUCAUGCCUGGAAUCCCAGCACUUUGGGAGGCCGAGGCGGUGGAUCACGAGGUCAGGAGUUCAAGACCAGCCUGGCCAAGAAGCUCAUACUGACUAAGGCAGCAGAACAUACAGGAGGAAGAGGAGCAGGUUUCACAGAGGGAAGACAUGAGUUCAAUUUUGGACUUCUCAGUAGUCGGUGUCCUCAGUGGUAGCAACUUCAAACGGAAGGUGUCAAAAGUCAAAUUCUGGAGAGUUGAGUAUGAAUGGGAGAUGAAGAAAAGGAGGCAGCACUUGUAGCCUGCUCUUAAUGUAUUUCUGCACUCUACACUAGCAGCCUAUUACACAGGACACUUGGAUGUCUCCUAGAUAUCACAAAUUCAGCUUCAAAAAUGAAUUCUUCUAGGUAUAUGGAAAGAUGUGAAGAAGAAAAUAUAGCAAUAAGUUAGGUGGCAGUGUAUGAGAGUUCCACUUGUUCUACACCCUCUCCAAUUCUUGAGGUUGUCAAUGUGGUUAGCCAUUCUGACCCAGGAACGAAAGCGCAGGGAGCAGAGGCUGGACCGUCCUCUGUCAGUUCCCUCGUUCCCCUGGAGUGGAGCUCUGAGCCCUGGGACCACAGAGUUGGCUGUUACACUGGAAACACUGAUCAGACCUUUGGACUCAGCUGAGAUAUUCACUGAGUGCAUAGUGUGUGCGCCAGGCCCUGUUCUGGGAGAUGACAGGCAAGGCCACUGACUUCGUGGAGCUCGCCCCCUAACGGUGAAGACAAACAGUGACUGACUAAGGAAAAAAAAAAAAGAACCCUGACGCUUGGCAUGGUCCAUGGCCCCCUCCACACAGCCAGUUGGCCAGGGAGCCGAGGCAGCCUGUAAACGCUCUGCCUGGAGCUGCUCGUAAACAAAAACAGAGUGAUCCACAAAAGGGCCCCAGAGUCUGGCACUGAAUGGAAUCCUACCUUCGGUCCAGCAACUGGAGAACGAAAGUCCACAUCCUGAUGACUGGUUCUGCACCUGGGGCUUAGAGCACAUAGCAAGGGGCUGAGAAGCAGCCACCACAUAAUCAGUGACUGCAAUUUCAUCACACAGUCCUCCAUGCCAGGCCCUGUGGGGAAACCAAGAUAUGUAAGGCAAGCCCUGCUCUUCGGAAUUUCUAAUCUCAGUACUGAAAAGUUAAUAACAUAAGGACGCAGCCUAUCUGUGGUAACACCAUGGCAUGAGCUGUGUGGAUUCCAAGUGCUGAAUGAAGCUGGAAGGGCAGAGGUCACAUCGGGCCAGUAUGUGCUUCUUGGAAGAGGUGGCAUUUGAGUCACUUGAAGAAUGAGCAGGAGAUGAGGGAUGGGAAGGAGAAGGCAUUCCUGGGAUGCCAUGAGCAAAGUGUCACAGUUUUGCAUUGAUCACUGUCAUCCAUGUAAGAGCAAGGACAGCUCAGGCAGGUGGUGGCCAUAGAAUGGAGGUGGACACAUAAAUAUGUGGAGAAAGAAGGAAGUCUUUGGGUUAAAAGGCCAAGACUUGACACCUGUGAGGACCUGGAAUCUAACCCUGUGUUUGUCUGUAAACCCAAGGCAAGUCACCCUUCUUCCGAGGCACAGUUUCUUCACCUGUAAAAUGAAGGGACUGGGCAAGACGGUUUCUAAAGUUCCUAGGGCCAGGUGCAGUGGCUCACGCCUAUCUUCACAAUACUUUGGGAGGCUGAUGCAGAAGGAUCACUGGAGCUCCCUCAAGACCAGCCUGGGGAACACAGGAAGAACCUUGUCUCUACAAAAAAUUAAAAAUAUUAGCUGGACAUGGUGGCAGGACCUGUGGUUCCAGCUACUCAGGAGGCUGAGUGGGGAGGAUAUUUUGAACCUGGGAGGUCGAGGCUGCAGUGAGCUGUGAUCACACCACUGCACUUCAGCCUGGGCAAUAAAUAAAUAAACAAGUAA